CAGCCGCCGCGGUAAUACGUAGGGGGCGAGCGUUGUCCGGAAUUAUUGGGCGUAAAGCGCGCGCAGGCGGUCCUUUAAGUCUGAUGUGAAAGCCCACGGCUCAACCGUGGAGGGUCAUUGGAAACUGGGGGACUUGAGUGCAGGAGAGGAGAGCGGAAUUCCACGUGUAGCGGUGAAAUGCGUAGAGAUGUGGAGGAACACCAGUGGCGAAGGCGGCUCUCUGGCCUGUACCUGACGCUGAGGCGCGAAAGCGUGGGGAGCAAACAGGAUUAGAUACCCUGGUAGUCCACGCCGUAAACGAUGAGUGCUAAGUGUUAGAGGGGUCACACCCUUUAGUGCUGUAGCUAACGCGAUAAGCACUCCGCCUGGGGAGUACGGCCGCAAGGCUGAAACUUAAAGGAAUUGGCGGG
rnacentral:rRNA from 1 species